rnacentral:lncRNA from 1 species
AAACAAAAGAUGCUACAAAACAAAUCAUUCUACUGCCUUUCGUAUAGAGAGCAAAUAAGAACAAACGAUUGUAAAUGAUAGCAUUCUCAGUACAUCCAUUCAAGCUCACUUAACAAAGCAAGCCUAUAAUCUAAGGAAAUAGGAGCAAAGAUUAUACGCAAUUCUAAAAUAGUAGAAACAUAGAGUGUUCAUGACGGGUUAAGGCGGGUCAAGGUGGCCCCAUGCGCGUCUAGGCGGGUUAAGGCGGGUCAAGGCGAUCAAGGCGGGUUAAAGCGGGUCACGACGGCCCCAGCCGGGUCAAGACGGCACCUUGGGGACCCUAGAUGGGUCAAGGCGACCAAAGGCGGGUCAAGGCGGCCCAGGCGGGUUAAGAAGGGUCAAGGUGGCCCAAGGUGGCUCAAGGUGGGUCAAGGCGGGUCAAGGCGGUCCAAGCCGGGUCAAGACGGUCCAAGACGGGCCAAAGAGGGUCAAGGCGGGUCAAGGCUGGUCAAGGUGGGUUAAGGUGGGUCAAGGCGGCCCCAGCCGAGUUAAGGCGGCACCUUGGGGCCCUAGAUGGGUCAAGGCGGCUUAUUGGCGGGUCAAGGAGGGUCAAGGCGGCCGAAGGCGGGUUAAGGCGGGUCAAGCCAGCCCAAGGCGGGUUAAGGAGGGUCAAGACGACCCAAGGUGGGUGAAGGCGGGUUAAGGAGGGCCGAGGAGGGUUAAGAAGGGUCAAGGCAGGUCAAGGCGGUCCAAAGCGGGGCAAGGCUGUCCAAGGCGGUCCAAGGCGGGUUAAGGUGGGCCAAGACGGGUUAAAGCAGGCCUAGGCGGGUCAAGGCUGGUCAAGGUGAGUUAAGGCGGGUCAAGGCGGGUUAAGGCGGGUCAAGACGAGCCAAGGCGGAUCAAGGCGAGUCAAAGUGGGUUAAGGCUUCCCAAGACGGGUUAAGGCAGCCCCUUGGCGGUCCUAAGCGGAACAAGGCGGCCCCUUGGCGGCCAUAGACGGGUGAACGCGGCCUUUAGGCGGCCCCAACUGCCCUUGGAGGCCCUAGAUGGGUCAAGGCGUCCCAAGGCGGGUCAAGGCGCCCCUAGAUGGGCCUAGGAGGGUUAUGACGGCCCAAGGCGACCUCUUGGCUGCCCUAGGAGGGUUAAGGUAGCCCCUUAGCAGGUCAAGACAGCCCUUUGGCGGCUUGAGACGGGUGAACGCGGCCCUUUGGUGGCCGAAGGUGGGUUAAGGCGGGUCAAGGCGGCCCUAUGCGGCUUUAAGAGGGUCAAGGCAGCCCCUUAGAGGGUCAUGGCGGCCCUAGCGGGAUUAAGGAUGCCCCUUGGCGGUCCUAGUAGGGUCAAGGCGGCCUAAGACGGGUCAAGACGGCCCAUGGCAGGUCAAGGAGGGUCAAGGCAGCCCUAAGCGGUUUAAGGCGGCCCCUUAGCAGCCGUACGCAACCCCUUCGCAGCCCUAGGAGGGUCAUGGCAGCCCCUUGGCUGCCCUAAGCGGGGAUACAAGGGCAUAGGAUGGUCAAGGCGGCCCAAAGCGGGUCAUGGCGGGUCUAGGCGGUUCUACGAGGGUCAAGGUAGCCCCUUGGAGGGUCAAUGCGGCCCCUUGGAAGGUCAAGGCGGCCCCUUGGUGGCCUUAGAUGGGUGAAAGCGGCUCCUUGGCGGCCCAAGGAGGGUCAAGGCGGAUUAAGACGGGUCAAGGCGGCUCUAGGAGAGUCAAGGGGGCCCAAGGUGGGUCAAGGUGGCCCACGGCGGGCCAAUGAUGGUCAAGGCGUCCCCUUGACUCCCCUAGGCGAGCCUAGGAGGGCCUAGGUGGGUUAAGAUGGUUUAAGGCAGGCCAAGACGGGUGAAGGCCGGUCAAGGCGGGUUAAGGCGGGUCAAGGCAGCCGAAAGAGGGUUAAGGCAAUCCAAGGCGGGUUAAGGCGGGCCAAAGUGGGUUAAGGCGGGCAUAGGCGGGUCAAGGCUAGUCAAGGUGGGUUAAGGCGGCCCCAAGCGGGUUAAGGCGGGUCAANNNNNNNNNNNNNNNNNNNNAAGGUGAAGGCUGCCCAAGGCGAGUCAUGGCUGCCCAAAGCAGCCUAAGGCGGGUCAAGGCUGCCCAAGGCGAGUCAUGGCGGGUCAAGGCGACCCCUUGGCUGCCUUAGGCGAGCCUAGGAGUGUCAAGGCGACCCAAGGUGGUGUAGGAGGGUCAAGGCAGCCCCUUGCCGGGUCAAGGCGGCCCCUUGGCGGCCUUAGACCGGUGAACGCAUCCCUUUAGCGGGUCAAGGUGGGUCAAGGAGGGUGAAGGGGGUCCAAGGAGGGUAAAGGCGGGCCAAGGUGGGUAAAGGCGGGCCAAGGUGGGUCAAGGCUGGUCAAGGCGGGUCAAGGAGGGUGAAGGCGGCCCAAGGUGGGUGAAGGCGGCUCAAGACGGGUCAAGGCGGGUUAAGGCUGGCCAACGCAGGGUAAGGCUGGCCAACGCAGGGUAAGGCGGGUCAUGCCGGGUCAAGGUGGUCUUCGUGGCCCUAGGAGGGUCAAGGCGGCCCAUGACGGGCCAAUGCGGGUCAAGACGGGCCAUGGCGGGUCAAGGCAUGUUAAGGCGGGUCAAGGAUGCACAAGGCGGGUUAAGGCAGUCCAAGGCGAGUCAAGGUAGGCCUAGGCGGGUCAAGGCUAGUUAAGGUGGGUCAAGGCGGGUCAAGGCGGCCCCAGGUGGGGGGCGGGCCGUCGCGGGUCAAGGCGAGUCAUGGCGGGCCAAGGCGAGCCAAUGCCGCUCAAGGCAGCUCUAGUGUAACACCCUGACCCAGGUGUUAGAAGAAUAAACGAAUAAAAUAACUAAGGAAAACCUAAAUCGAAACAGAGGUAGGAUCUCAAAACAAACAAAAGGUUUGUUGUGUUUGAAAUCUAAAUUUAUUUUGUUAAUUUGCAGCUGCACCCAAAACUUGAUCGAGCUGCCUAUAUACCCUUUUAAAGGGAUCAAGCCACUCGUAGUUCAUCAUUUUAAUCUACUUCUCUACCUACACUAACAACAUCACAUUUACCACUAUAAGUCCAAAAUCAAAACCCUACUUACGGCCUCCCAAGAACCAUUUCAUGAUACACACCAAAAUUUAAUAUGUUUUCUUCUAUACCCAUUAAAUCAAAUCAACCCGGCCAUACAAAGCCUCAUGCAUCAUCAAAACUAUAUCAAUUUAUUAUCAUUCUAAUAUAAAGUUUCAGGAGAAUAAUAUAAAGUCCCAAGUUUACUAAACAUUCUAACUAGAUUUACUAAGAACACCCAUUAGAUAUACUAUGGACACCCAUUCAACUAAAUCCAAUCCCAAAUCCAUACAUAACACUCCAAUAUCCACUUCAAUGCAUAAGCACAAUCCAACUAUAACUCAAUAGUUAAUAUUCAUCCUAAACAUAGACCAAACCCAGAAACCAUAACUACAACUACCGCCGCCGCCACCGUGAACAGUGGCCACCCACGGUGGUCACACUGCCCAGAACACCACAUUCUCCAAACUCCACCAAUAUUGACUUCAAGCAUCUCAACCUACUCCUUCAAUUCCAUACACUAAUUCAAAAGUCAGAAACUACAAAAACAAUCGCCACCAAUGUCGUGCACAGCAGCACACACGGCAGUCCUCCACAACCAAAAAUCCAACUUUUUCAUCUCUCAACCAAACACGAAUUCAAUUAUACAAAAGGUACAGCUCAAAGAGAAAAUCAACUUUGAUACCUGAGUCUACGCCAAAGCUCACCGGAAUCCGUCGAACUCUCGCCGGAAAAUUUAAAAACUUCUCCUCUUCUAUUCUCCCUCACCUGACCUUGUCUCGACAAGCUGAAGUCACAGGGAUGUCGAGGAUGAGGAGAGGAAACUAUCCACACCGGUGAGAUACCACGACUUGGCCGGAAUCGUAAACUCGCCGGCGAACCCAGCCUCUCCUUCUCCACUUUGAAUCUCUCUCUCUCAACCUCUUCUGAAGAAGCUGAGGACAUAGAGAAGGCCACGAGGACGAGAGGAAGCUUCCGCUACCAUUCUUCCUCCUCGCUGUCGCCGGAAUCGGAAGUUGGCCGAUAAAUUUAGAAAUUGUUCUCUCCUUCUUUUCUCUCUCGCCGGAGCUCCUCUUCGAAAACAAAGGACAUCUUGAGGACGGGGACGGCGAGACGGAGCUGUAGCCACCAGUUGGAGGCCGAGAGGUGGCCGGACGACGGAAAACGAUCGACGCUCCGUCGAUGCAGAGAGACCGGAGAUAGAGACGAAGUCUGUCUCUCCCGAAAAUAAAUCGAAGGUUCUAAAAGCUUCCCCCCUUCUCUCCAGAUUCUUCCCCCAAAAAUAUCUACCUCCCUUUCUUUUUCUCUCUUCUUUUUUUAUACCCUUUACUGAAAUAGUAAUUUUCUGUUUUUAGACCAUAAUUUUCUCAUACGAACUCCGAUUUGAGCGUGCCACGUGUCCACGAACUCGUAUUAACGUCCUCUACGACUUCCAUGAAGGAAGUUCUCCCAAAUUAUCAACUUAACAAAAAGUCAAAUUUUUAGGUCCUUUACGGUAAAACGGUUACAAGAAACAAUAAUUGAAAAUUUACUGUAAACUUCAUAAAUUCACAAAACAUAACUCAUCGCUUCGGAAAAUAAUCCGGACAUACCGGUGAGCUCAUAUAAACGUGUACCACGACUUCGGACUUUUAAAUCCACUAUUUACCCAUUUUCAGAAAAGCUCGAAAACAACCUCGAGCAAUCACUAUUUAAAUCUCUGAGCGCAAAUAAAGAAAAAUCUGCGGUAACUCGUAAUCCCAAACAGUAACCUUUUAGGUACGGGGUAUUAUAUCUAGGCAUGCAGGUCAAGGCGGCCGCUUGGCGGCAUUAGGUGGGUCAAGCGGCCUUAAGUGGGACAAGGCGACCACUUGGCGUCCUUAGACAGGUGAACGCGGCCCUUUGGCGGCCCCAGCUGGGUCAAGACGGCCCCUAGAUGGGUCAAGACGGCCUAUUGGUGGCUUUAGAAGGGUCAAGGCGGUCCAAGGUGGGUUAAGGCGGCCCAAGGCAGUUCAAUGCGGGUCAAGGCGGGCCUAUGAGGGCCUAGGAAGGUCAAUGCGAGUCAUGGCGUCCCUAGGCGAGUCAAGGCGGUAGCUUGGAGGGUCAACGCAGCUUUAGGCGGUUCUGGGAGGGUCAAGGCGGCCCAAGGGGGGUUAAGGCCGGUCAAGGCGCCCCAUGGCGGGCCAAUGCUGGUCAAGACGGCCCCUUUGCUACCCUAAGCGAGCCUAGGAGGGUAAAGGCGGCCAUGGCGGGCCAAGGCGGCCGAAGGCGGAUCAAGGCGGCCCAUGAGUGAGCCUUGGAUGGCCUAAGAGGGUCAUGGCGGCCAAAGGCGGGUUAAACGGGUAAAGGCGGCCCAAAGCGGGUCAAGGCAAGUCAAGGCGGCCCUUUAGCGGCUUUAGACGGGUGAACGCGGCCCAUUGGCAGCUCCAGCCGGGUCAAGGCGGCCUAUUGCAAUCCCAAGGCGAGUUAAGGCAGGUCAAAGAAGCCUAAGGCGGGUGAAGGCGAUCCAAGGCAAGUCAUGGCAGGUCAAGACGACCCAAGGCGGGUCUAGGAGGGUCAAGGCAGCCCCUUGUCGGGUUAAGGCGGCCCCUUGGCGGCCUUAGACGAGUGAACGCAUCCCCUUGGCGGGUCAAGGCAGCCCCUUAGUGUCCCUAGGAGGGUCAAGGUGGCCCUAAGCGGGUCAUGGCGGCCCAAGACGGGUUAAGGCGGCCCAAGACAGGUUAAGGAGGGUUAAGGCGGCCCAAAGCGGGUCAAGGCGGGUUAAGACGGGCUAAAGCGGGUUAAAGAGGGUCAAGGCAGCCCAAGGUGUGUUAAGGUGGGUCAAGGCGGGUCAAGGCGGCCGAAGGCGGUCUAAGGAGGGUCAAGGCGGGCCAAAGUGGGUCAAGGCGGGCCAAGGAGGGUGAAGACGGCCAAGGUGGGUGAAGGCGGCUCAAGAUGGGUCAAGGCGAGUUAAGACGGGCCAAGGCAGGUUAAGGAGGGUCAAGGAGGGUUAAGGUGGUCUUCGUGGCCCUAGGAGGGUCAAGACGGCCCCUUGGCUGGUCAAGGCAUGUUAAGGCGGCUCAAGGCAGGUUAAGGCAGUCCAAGGCGGGUCAAGACAUGCCUAGGCGGGUCAAGGCUGGUCAAGGUGGGUUAAGGCGGGUCAAGGCGGCCCAUUGGCGGCCCUAAGCGGGAUAAGGAGGCCCUAGGCCGUUUAAGGCGACCCCUUGGCAGCCAUGGACAGGUGAACGCUGCUUAGGCGGGUCAAGGCUGGUCAAGGUGGGUUAAGGCGGGUCAAGGCGGCCCCAGGCGGGUAAGGCGGCCCAAGGCGGGUCAAGGUGAGCCAAGGCGGGUCAAGGCCGACCAAGUUGGGUCAAGUCAGUCAAGGUGGGUAAAGCGGGUAAAGGCGGCCCAAGGCAGGUUAAGGCGGGUCAAGGCGGCCCAAUGUGGGCUAAUGCGAGUCAAGGCGGCCUUAAGCGGGUCAAGGCAGCCCCUUAGCGGCCCUACACAUCCCCUUUGCGGCCCUAAGCAAGGUCAUGGCGGCCCAUUUGCUGCCCUAAGCAGGGGCCUAAGAUGGUCAAGGCAAGUCUACGCGGUUCUACGAGGAUCAAGAUAGCCCCUUAGAGGGUCAAGACGGCCCCUUGGUGGCCUUUGACGAGUGAACGCGGCCCCUUAGCGGCCCAAUGAGGGCUAAGGCGGGUGAAGGCGGCUCUAGGCGGGUCAAGGUGGUCUUCGCGGCCUUGGGACAGUCAAGGCAGCCAAGGAGGGUCAAGGCGGAUCAAAGCGGGUCUAGGAGGCCCCAUAGUGGCCCUAGACGUGUCAUUGCGGGUCAAGGCGGCCCUAGGAAGGUCAAGGCCGCCCAAGGCGGGUCAAGGUGGCCCUAGGAGGGCCCAGAAGGGUCAAGGCGGGUUAAGACGAGCCUAGGAGGGCCCAGGAGGGUCAAGGCGGGCCAUGGUGGGUCAAGGCGGCCCCUUGGCUCCCCUAGGCAAGCCUAGGAGGGCCUAGGAGGGUCAAGGCGCCCAAGGUGGGUUAAGCCAGGUCAAGGUGGCCUAAGGCGGCUGAAGGUGGGUCAAGGCAAUCCAAGACGGGCCAAGGUGGGUUAAGGCGGGCCUAGGCGGGUCAAGGCUGGUCAAGAUGGGUUAAGGCAGGUCCAGGCAGCCCCAGGAGGGUUAAGGCGGCCCAAGGCGGGUUAAGGCGACCCUAAACGGGACAAGGCGGUCCUAAGCGGGACAGGGCGGCCCUAACUAGGCCGUUCAAGGCAGCCCCUUGGCGGCCAUAGACAGGUGAACGCGACCCUUUGGCGGCCCCAGCUGGGUCAAGGCGACCCCUUAGAGACCCUAGAUGGGUCAAGGCUGUCCAAGGCGGCCAAGGAGGUCUAAGGCGGUCCAAGGCGGGUCAAGGCAACCCCUUAACGGGUCAAGACGGCCCCUUGGCGACCUUAAAAGGAGAACGCGGCCCCUUGGCGGUCCUAGCGGAGUCAAUGCAGCCCUUGAUCGCCCUAGACGGGUCAAGGCGACCCCUUUGGCUACCCUAGGAGGGUCAAGGUGGGAUUAGGCAGGUCAAAGGGGCACCCUGGCUGCCCUAGGCUAGUCUUAGAGGGUGAAGGCGGGUCGAGGAGGCCCAAGGCUGGUCAAAGUAGGUUAAGGCGGGCCUAGGCGAGUUAAGGCGAGCCAAGGUAGGUUAAGGCGUGACAAGGUGGGUUAAGGCGGGCCUAGGCGGGCCUAGGCGGGUCAAGGCGGGUUAUGGCGGGUCAAGACGGCCCCAGGCGGGUUAAGACGAGCCAAGGCGGGUUAAGGCCGGCCAAGGCGGGUCAAGGCUAUUUAAGGUGGGUAAAGGCGGGUAAAGGCGAGUUAAGGCGGGUCAAGGCGGGUCAUGCUUAGAUAGGCCCAUGACGAGCCACUUCUUAACGGGCCUGGGCUUGGGCCGGCCCAUUUACUCAAACAUAAGGCCAUACCCUAAGCCGGUCAAGGCGGCCCCUUCGCGGCCCUAGAAGGUCAUGGCAGCCCCUUAGCUGCUCUAGGAGGGUGAAAGCGGCCCAAAGAGGGUUUAGGCGGCUCAGGGCGGGUCAAGGAGGCCCCUUGGUGGCCUUAGACGGGUGUACGCGGUCCCUUGGCGGCCCUAGCGGGGUUAAGGCGGCCUCUUGAUGGCCCUAGAAGGGUCAAGGUGGCCUCUUGGCUGCCUACGAGGGUCAAGGCUGGUUAAGCGGGCCCUGGCGAGUUAAGGCAGGUUAAAGCCGCCCCAUGGCUGGUCAAGGCAACCCUAGGCAGGUCAAGGCGGCCUCUUCGCGACCCUAGGAGGGUUAUGGCGGCCCCUUGGCUAUCCUAGGCGGGCCUAAGAGGGUGAACGCGGCCCCUUGGCGGGUCUAAGGCGGGUCAAGAUGACCCUGGACGGUUCUAGGAGGGUCAAGGCUGCCCUUUGGUGGCCUUAGAGGGGUGAACACGGCCCCUUGGAGGCCCUAGGAGGGUCAAGGAGGGUCUUGGCGGCCCUUUGAUGGGUCAAGGAGGGUCAAGGAGGGUUAAGACGGGUCAAGGCCAGUCAAGGCGGCCAAAGGUGGUCCAAGGCGGGUCAAGGAGGGUCUUGGCGGCCCCAAGAGGUCAAGGCGGCCCCUUAGUGGCCCUAGAAGGGUAAAGGCGACCUCUUGGCUGUCCUAGGAGGGUCAAGGCGGGUCAAGACCCCUUGCUGCCUUAGGCGAGCCUACAAGGGUCAAGGCGGAUAAAAGCGGCCUUUAGGGAGGUCAAAACGGCCAAUGGCAGGGUCAAGGUGGCCCAAGACGAGUUAAGGCGGGUCAAGACAGGUAAAGAUGGGUCAAGGCGGCUCAAGGUGUCCCAAGGCGGGUCAAGGCGGUCCAAGGCGACCCCUUGGCAGGUCAAAACGGCCCUAGGCGGGUCUCGACAGGCCUUAGGGAGGUCAAGGCAGGUCAAGAAGGGUCUUGGCGGCCCUAUGAGGGUCAAGGCGGAUCAAGGCAGCCUCUUAGUGGCCCUAGACGGGCCAAGGCGGCCUCUUGGCUGCCCUAGGAGGGUCAAGGCGGCCCCUUGGUGUCCCUAGAUGGGUCAAGGUGGCCCCUUGGCGGCCCUCGACGGGUUAAGGCAUCCCCAUGGCGGCUCUAGGCAGGUCAAGGUGGCUCUAGGAGGGUCUAGGCGGACCAAGGAGGCCCCUUGGCGACCUUAGACAAGUUAAGGCAUCCACAUGGAUGCCCACGGUGGGCCAAUGCGGGUCAAAACGACCCCUUGGCUACCCUACGCGAGCCUAGGAGGGCCUAAGAGGGUUAAGGCGGUUCAAGGCUGGCCGUGGCCGGUUAAGGCGGCCCAAGGCGGGUGAUGGCGGGCCAAGGUGAGCUAAUGCGGGUCAAGGCAGCUCUAGGCGGGUCAAGGCGGCCGCUUGGCGGCACUAGAUGGGUUAAGCGGCCCUAAGCGGGACAAAACGGCCCCUUGGCGUCCUUAGAUGGGUGAACGUGGCCCCAGUUGGGUCAAGGCGGCCCCUAGAUGGGUCAAGCCGACCUAUUGGUGGCCUUAGAAUGGUCAAGGCGGGUUAAGGCAGUCCAAAGCGGGUUAAUACGGCCCUAGGUGGCCCCGUGGCUACCCUAGGCGAGCCUUGGAAGGCCUAGAAGGGUCAAGGCGGCCCUACACGGGCCUAGGAGGGUCAAGGUAAGUCAACGCGGGCCAUGGUGGGUCAAGGCGGCCCAAGGCAGGUCCAAGGCAGGUUAAGACGGCCCCAUGACGGCCCUAAGUGGGUCAAGACAGCCCUAGGCAGCCCCUUCGCAGCCCUAAGAGGGUCAUAGCGGCCCUUUGGCUGCCCUAGGCGGGCCUACGAGGGCCUAGGAGGGUCAAGCGUCCCAUGGCUGGUCAAAGCGGGUCAUGGCAGCCCUAGGCGGGUCAAGGCGGCCCUAGGCGGUUCUAGGAGGGUCAAGGCGGCCCAAAGGGGGUUAAGGUGGGUCAAGGCGACCCACGGCGGGCUAAUGCUAGUCAAGGUGGUCCAAGGCGGCCAAGGCUGGUCAAGGAGGCCCUAGGUGGAUCAAGGUGGCCCCUUGGCUGCCCUAGGUGAGCCUUGGAGGGCCUAGGAGGGUAAUGGUGGCCAAAGGCGAGUUAAGGAGGGUCAAGGCGGCCUUAGACGGGUGAACGCGGCCCAUUGGCGGCCCUAGCCGGGUCAAGGCGGCUCCUUGGGAGCCCUAGAUGGGUCAAGGAGGCCUAUUGGCGGCCUAGGCGGCCCAAGGCGAGUUAAGGCAGGUCAAAGCAACCUAAGGCGGGUCUAAGCGGGUCAAGGCGGCCCCAUG